CAGCCGCCGCGGUAAUACCGGCGGCCCGAGUGGCGGCCACUAUUAUUGGGCUUAAAGCGUCCGUAGCCGGGUUGGUUAGUCUCCCGGGAAAUCUGGCCGCUUAACGGUCAGAAUUCCGGGAGAUACUGCCAGCCUAGGGACCGGGAGAGGCCGAGGGUAUUCCCGGAGUAGGGGUGAAAUCCUAUAAUCCCGGGAGGACCACCGGUGGCGAAGGCGCUCGGCUGGAACGGGUCCGACGGUGAGGGACGAAGGCCAGGGGAGCAAACCGGAUUAGAUACCCGGGUAGUCCUGGCUGUAAACGAUGCGGACUUUGUGUCGGACAAGCUAUGAGCUUGUCCGGUGCCGGAGGGAAACCGUUAAGUCCGCCGCCUGGGGAGUACGGCCGCAAGGCUGAAACUUAAAGGAAUUGGCGGG
rnacentral:rRNA from 1 species